rnacentral:rRNA from 1 species
AUACGGAGGGUCCGAGCGUUAUCCGGAAUCAUUGGGUUUAAAGGGUCCGUAGGCGGGAAUCUAAGUCAGUGGUGAAAUCUUGCAGCUCGACUGUAAAAUUGCCAUUGAUACUGGAUUUCUUGAAUUAGUGUGAAGUGGUUAGAAUGUGUAGUGUAGCGGUGAAAUGCAUAGAUAUUACACAGAAUACCAAUUGCGAAGGCAGAUCACUAACACUAUAUUGACGCUAAGGGACGAAAGCGUGGGGAGCGAACAGGAUUAGAAACCCGAGUAGUCC